rnacentral:lncRNA from 1 species
GGUUACAAGAUUGUUUUAAUCAAGGCAUCUCUGUGGUUCAUAAAUGUUUUUAUCCUUUUUAAGCUUCUUAAUUAAGAAAGUUCAUUCAGAAUGGCUUUCAUCCCAAAAAUGACAGUCUUUUCUCUCCUUUACCUGGUUUGCUAACAAAAUAUUAAUACAAAAGUGCAAAACAGGAGCUUCUCAGGAACCACGGAGAAUUCUGCACAGAAGGGAGUAGUAGACAUUCGAAACUAAUUUAACAGUAAAGUAUGUGGUUUCAUUAUUUCCCCCAAGGUUCAGAGCUCUUCUUGGGGGAGGGGAAAAGAUUUCAUUGCUGUCUUUUCUGUGAGUGCAGAUUUUUUAAAUUGUUAAUGUUUAUAGUGGUGAUCUGUGAGAGCUAUGGGGUACUUUGGAAAAGAAGAUAGAUCCUCCUCUCAAAAACAUUAAAAAUUAUCCAAGGCAAAUAUGGAUGUUCAGAGGUUUUCCAUGUGUAAAAGAAAUCUUUCUUUCCCUCAGGAGCUCUAGCUUUGCAGGAUAAUUUAUAUAGAAAAUAAGGAAUUCCAUGAGGAAAGGAUAUAAUAUUUUACAUUAGCAGAAGAAUAUGGAUAAAAAUUCUUGCCAAGAAAGGUUGGCUUCAGGGAGUCUUAGAAAAUACAAAAAACUUUUAAAUUUCAAGAAAUUCUUAGAAGUUCUGAAGAACUCAGAAAUUCUAAAACAAAGAUAUGAGAAAGAAGUAGGGGAUUUAUAAGUGUCUAUGAGGUAGAAAGAAGGACUUACAGAAUAGUGGGAAGAAACCAAACAAGUGAUUUGAUAUUACUUAAGACAUCUCCAUACUCUUUAUUGUUCUUGAAUAUAUUGUUGCUCAAUAUUUAAAUGUGUCUUGUGCUUUGUUUUCCCACCAAACUAAUAGGCAAAGAAAACAGUCAUAGAAACUGUCUACUUUCUAUCCCAAGAAAUUCAGAGAAAGACAAUAGUCAAUCUUACUUCAUAGCUAAAAUGCUGUAACAGAGUGACAAGUUCCCGUUCAAUCUCAAUGUCAGACACAUAAUAGACUUGUCCGAUAAUGGAACUUAAGUUCAAAGAUACACAUAUCAACCUCGCUGAUUAUCAUAGCUGCCACCUUCUGCAACUUUAGGAUAUCAUUCUCACUGCAGUCUAUUUGAAUAAAACUCCCUGAACUUAAACAUCAGUAGGGCUCUGAACUAUUUAAAUG